CAAUUACCAGGGGCUCCGUUUGCGGCUGAGCUGACCUUGUCUUCUGCCUGUUUUGUGCGAAAGCCUGACCUUUCGCAUCUGCGCCCGCCUGCUCACACGUGCUUGCCCCUCCCUGCAGAAUGUUUCAUGCUGGCCCUCCUCCCGCCCCGCCCCACCCCACCCCACCCCACCCCACCCCACCCCAUCCUACCAUCCAACUCCCCACCCGCCCCUGCAAGUGCUUCGGGCUUUUCCAGUCUAUCCGCACAGCUCCAAGUUUUAGCUCAGUUCCUUCCCAGCUCACCCUCCUUCAGAAAUUCUGCCAAUUCGGUCAGCUCUUCAAGGCCCACUGCUGCCUUCCCCACCUGCUGCCUUCCCUGACCUGUUCACACUAGCAAGUCUCUGCACUUUGGGUACUUUGCUGCCUCCUUUCCAGAGCCUGUUGUGCAGUGGUUUGACACUGUAUAGUUCACUAAGCACUUUGAGUGGAUGUAAGACCUGCCUUGUAUUGAUAUUUAUUGCAUGCUGAGGACUUUAGGUAUAUUGUUUCAUUGGAAUUUUCAUUUUUUUAUUAUUUUUUAGAGACAAGGUCUCUCAAUGUGUCUCCCAGCCUGGAGUACUGUGAUGCCAUCACAGCUCACUGCAGCCUCAAACUCCAGGGCUCAAGGGAUCCUCCCACCUUAGCUUCCCAAGAAGCUGGGACUGUAGGCACACACCACCAAGCCUGGCCUCAUUGAACUUUUAAAACAAAAUCCAUGAAAUAGGUGUUACUAUAUUAUCUUGUCUUUUUAAAUAGAUGAACAAGCUGAAGCUCUGAGUUCACUUAUUAAUUCAGCAGUUAUUAAAGUACCUACUUUGUACCAGGCCCUGCUUUGAAGAGAGACAACAGGGAACGAAACACAUACUCACCUCUGGGCAGCCAAACACAAAACUAAUGUGACUUUAACGGGGGUCCAGUCCUGUCCUGACCUGAGGCUCAGUGUAGGCUUCUCAGAGGAAGUGAGGUAUAAAUUAGUUUCUGAGUGAUGGCAGGAGGCCCAGCACAUGAAGGAGUAGUGCGGAACUGAACUUCAGCCAGCAGCAGCCUGUCCAGGGUGGGCCUGCAGGAGCCAACACAGGAGCCCUGAGGCCUGCCAACUCGGCCACGUGCAUAUAGUGUGGCAGGUCUUCCUUCCUGGGACUCUGUUUCUCCAUGUGAAAACCCUGCCUCCCUUUUCCUCCCUGGACUGUUCUGGGAACAAGGCCAGGAAGGAAGAGCCCUCUCCCCACCCUAAGGUCUUGAUCCCUUUGGACAGUCCAGUUGCCAGAAGACUUAGAGGAUCAUUUUUGCCACAGCUACAGGGACAGGCCUGUAGGUGUGAAAUGCCCUGGACAGGGCUGGGCAUGGAGCCUUGGUGAUCUCACUGUUGGAGCAGGUGCCAGGAGAGGAGGAGGGGAAAAAGAUGAUGAUUUCUGACUCAAGGUCAUAGCCUUCAGUCACUGGUCCUCCUCUCUCAAGGACUGUGUGACCAGGGACUAGAACUGUCUCCUUAUGUGGUGGCCCUUAUAAUGCAGUGAUGGAGGCCGGGUGUGGUGGCUCACGCCUAUAAUCCUAGCACUUUGGGAGGCCGAGGCGGGUGGAUCAUGAGGUCAAGAGAUCAAGACCAUCCUGGCAAACAUGGUGAAACCCUUUCUCUACUAAAUACAAAAAAUUAGCCGGGUAUGGUGGCACAUGCCUGUAAUCCCAGCUACUUGGGAGGCUGAGACAGGAGAAUCAUUUGAACCCAGGAGGUGGAGGUUGCGGUGAGCCGAGAAUGCGCCAUUGCACUCCAGCCUGGGCAACAAGAGCGAAACUCCGUCUCAAAAAAAAAAAAGAAAAAAUUGCAGUGAUGGAAAGCUGAAGCUAGGCUAAUGGCUGCUGGCAGAUCUUCAUUCUGAUCUGAAUUUCUUUCUUUUUUUUUUUUUUUGUAGAGACAGGGUUUCAGGGUUUCACCAUGUUGGCCAGGCUAGUCUUGAACUCCCGACCUCAGGUGAUCCUCUCGCCUUGACCUCCCAAAGAGCUGGGAUUACAGGCAUGAGCCAUCACACCCAGGUUUUUUUUUUUUUUUUUUUUUUUUUUGAGAUGGAGUCUUGCUCUGUUACCACCAGGCUGGAGUGCAGUGGCGCAAUCUCGGCUCAUUGCAACCUCCACCUCUCGGGUUUCAAGUCCCAAGUAGCUGGGACUACAGGCACGCACCACCAUCGCUAGCUAAUUUUUGUAUUUUUUAGUAGAGACCAGGUUUCACCAUGUUGGCCAGGAUAUUCUUGAUCUCUUGACCUCGUGAUCCGCCUGCCUAGGCCUCCCAAAGUGCUGGGGAUUAUAGGUGUGAACCACCGUGCCCAGCUCUGAUCUGAAUUUCAUUGGGUACUAGUGGUGUGGCCUUGGGCAAUUCACUUAAGGCACUCUGAGUCUGUUUUUUUUUUUUGAGAAGGAGUCUCGUUCUGUUACCUAGGCUGGAGCGCAGUGGCAUGAUCUUUGCUCACUGCAACUUCCACCUCCCGGUUCAAGUGAUUCUGCCUCAGCCUCUCAAGUAGCUAGGAUUACAGGCAUGGGCCACCACUCCUGCCUAAUUUUUGUAUUUUUAGUAGAGACAGGGUUUCACCAUGUUGGCCAGGCUGGUCUUGAACGCCUGACCUCAAGUGAUCUGCCUGCCUUUGCCUCCCAAAGUGCUGGGAUUACAGGUAUGAGCCACCACACCCAGCCUAUUUCUUUAUUUUAAGAGAGUCUCACUCUGUCACUCAGGCCAUGCAGUAGCAUGAUCUCAGCUCAUUGCAGGCUUGACCUCCCAGACUCAAGGUAUCCUCCCACCUCAGCCUCCUGAGUAGUUAGGAUUACAGGUGCAUGGCACCAUGCCCAGCUAAUGUUUUGUGUGCUUUUUGUUUGUUUUUGGUAGAGACAGGGUUUUGCCAUGUUGCCCACACUGGUCUUGGAUUACUGGCCUCAAGCAAUUUGCUUGCCUUGGCCUUUCAAAGUGCUGAGACUACAACAGGCAUGAGCCACAACGCCUAGCCUGAGAUAACACAUUUAAAUGCUGAAUAUGGUUGACUUAGUAAAUGUUCACUGCUGCUAUUGUUAUUAUCUCCAGGGGUAGUGCAGACAUCUAAGACCUAGUCUGAGUUCUGCAGCUUGCCUGCUGAGUUAGUUACCCAAGGCAGAUUGCUUUGCUUCUUUAAUUCUUAGUUUUCUUAUUUCUGGGACAGGAUUAGAAACUGCUGCAACUGUGAAAAGAGGUCUAUAGAGGCUUUUAGGAUGGGUUGUCGGGGGCACUGACUGAAAAUCCAUUUGCUCCCUCUCUUGGGGCCUGUCCAAGUUGAGCAGCAUGGGGCUUUGAGAAGCUCUACGAGACAAACCUCAAACCAACUACCCUCACUGCCCUUCCCCCACCUUGCCACCAUGCACAGACCUGGGUCCCUGAGGUUAACCCAUAAGCUGCACCCCAUCUCCUUUCCUCCUGGUUUAUAUCCUUCUUCCUUCUAAGUAUGUACCGUUUUCUCCUCAUCCCUCUGAGUACCUGCCUCCUCUAGCUCUGUCAUGCUCACUACAUCUGGGGGAGAAUGUGAGCCCUGUCACUUUUUGUGCUCCCCUGUCUUGCCCUUGGCACAUCCAGAUGUGGAUAUAACAUCUGACAGGCAACAAGACCAGUGCCUGCCAAGAACAGCAUCUCCCCAGCCCUCAUCCUAUGGUGAGGUCACUGUUCUAUGUUUCCACAGCAACCACAGGCUGGGAAAAGGAGAAUAGGAGAGAUGAGUAACCAGAAGCCAGCCAAUGAGAUGAGCUGCAGCACCGGAUGAUCCAUGGGGCCAUGGGGAGGGGGAACAAGGGAGGCCUGCUCAGCAUCUUUAGCUGUUUCCUGGAUCCUCCCUGCCAUCUGGAUGCCUCCACUAGAGAACGAGCUACUGGCACCAGGAAAGAGCUAGAGGCUAAAGAAGCUGAGCUAGAAGCUCUGCUGAUCCAAGAACAUGGCCCUCCUUUUUUGCCUCUUCAGAGUCUAAGUCUAUGGAUGCUGACUGCCCCUGCCCCAUCCCACCCCUAAUAUCUGCAACUGGGAAUUUUUCCCAUUUGCUGGUAAUGAUGGUGGGGCUCUUUCUGCCUCUGCCUGCCAUAGAACCAGCAAGUCUUAGACGUCCCUUCUUUUUAUGCCCCUGGUGCAUGGUGUCUUUGUUACCAGAAAGGGGUCCCAAUCCAGACCCCGAGAGAGUUGUUGCAUUUCACACCAGAAGGAAUUUGGGGCAAAUCCACAGAAUAAAGUGAAAGCAAGUUCAUUAGAGAAGUAAAGAAAUGUCUGUUUAGUAAACAUUAUUAACCCGUUCCCUUAACUGUAAACAUUUUGUGACUAAGAAUAUUUCACAUCUUAGCCAGGUCUCAGCUUCAUUUUACCCUGUCUCUAUGCAAGAUGGAGUCACUCUGGUUAGAAUGCCUCUGACAUCUUCAGAUUCGAUGUCUUUAGAAAGAUCCCUGAUUCUAAAUUCCAGGCCUGCAGUUACUAGCUAGAGAACUGGAACAAGCUCAUUUUCCCCCUUCUGAGUCCCCUUUUCUCCCAAAUAGAUGAAGGCCAUCAACUUCUUGGGGUUAUCAGGAUUAAAAGAUAACAAAUGGAAAGCCUACUAUGCACUAAUGAGUAACCAGAAGCCAGCCAACAAGAUGAGCUGCAGCACCUGCUGAUCCAUGGGACCACGGGGAGCGGGGACAAGGGAGGCCUGCUCAGCAUCAUCAGCCGUUUCCUGGACCCUCCCUGCCAUCUGGAUGCCUCUGCUAGAGAAUGUGCUACUGGCACCAGGAAAGAACUAGAGUAGAGGCUUAAAAAGCUGAAGGAGUAGUAACUUCUUUCUCCUAUCCUCUUUCCAGUUCUUUUCCCCAGGAUGUUUGAGUAAGCCAAGUCCUUUUGAGACCCUGAAUCAAUAGGAAAGGAUUCAAGUAUGUGGCCAACUCCUCCUCAUUGAUGUCGCAGAGUGGCCUUCAGAUCUUGGAGAUAAGUUUCCUCAUAUUUCCCUUUCUCUCUAUUUAAAUAUUCAUUCAUUCUACCAAUCUUAAUGGAGCACUCCUAUGGCCAGGCACUGUGGGCUCAGUGGAGAUCCAGGGUGAACAGGAGAGCCCCCUGCUCUCACUAAGCUCACAGUGCAGGGGGAUUGCAGCCACAGUGGGUGGAAUGGAGUGUUCUUUCUGCCACUAGGAAAUCUGCUUCCUUGUUCCCCAAGAGUUCUAGAUACUGUGGGCUUGAGAGAACAAAUGAUGGCAGAAGGUAGAGGUUUACUCAACGCCAAUUUGCUUCUAAGAAGCUGCUGCCUCUGGCAGAAUGCUCCGUGAAAUGAGAACAGUGGCCCUCCCUACCCUGGGGGAGAGGGGGCAGCUCAGUGGGGAGGGGCAAUUGCCUUCUCAGAAGCCAGCCAUCUCCCCAUUGCUGGCAGAAGAAAGCCCAGACUCUAUUUAGCCUGAUCUCAUCUAUUUCCUUGGUCUAAUUUAUUACUGAAAUUCUAUUUUAAGAAGAGUUUCUGGCGGAGAAUAAGGUACAAUUGACAAGAUUGGGUGUAUUCAGGGUGGUAUGGCUGUAGACAGGUGUAGUAUAUUGAAUGAAUGAACAAAUGAGCGAGUGAAGGAGAGAAUCUACCUCUCUAGCUUUAGGGGCUCUGGAGUGAGACUUGGGUUCCAAUCUUGCCCGCUACGUAUACAACAACUGUGUGACCUUGGGCAAGUCAUGAUCUCACUGGGUCUCAGUUUCCAAAUCUGCAGAGGGCGUGAUCACUAUCCUCACCUAGCCAGCCUCCCAAGGACCCUGAGGAGAUAGGGGAGGACAAGUUGAGGAAUGCAGCACAAAGGAUGUUUCUCCAACUCCUGGCCUCAAGCGAGCCUUCUGCCUCAGCCUCUCGGGUAGCUGGGACAGGUGUAUCUGGUUUAUACUUUUUCUCUUCUAGCCUUCUUCCUUGGCUGCCGGUGGUUCUUAGCACAAGACCUAUUUUCUUUGACAUGCCCCAUAGCCACGACCCACAGCCUCAUAGCCUAUACACUCUCCCCCUACCUGCCUCUCCAGCUUUCCACACUGCAGCCACUCUGAUCUUUUGUACCUUGAGGGGCACCAUGUUUCUCUCUUUCUGUUUGCCAACAGUGCUCUUCCUUUCCCCUACAGUCUUUUCAUUAACUCCUUUUUUUUUUUAUUAAAAAAUCUUUUAAAAGUAGUAUUCUAUUUUUUUUUUUUAGACAGUCUUACUCUGUCACCCAGGUUGGAGUGCAAUGGUUUGAUCUUGGCUCAUUUCAACCUCUGCCUCCUGGGUUCAAGCAAUUCACAUGCCUCAGUCUCCUGAGUAGCUGAAAUUACAGGCAUGCGCCACUACAUCUAGCUAUUUUUUGUAUUUUUAGUAGAGAUGGAGUUUCACCAUGUUAACUAGCCUGGUCUCCAACUCCUGACCUCAAGUAGUUCACCUGCCUUAGCCUCCCAAAGUGCUAGGAUUAUAGGUGUGAGCCACCACGUCCAGCCAACUCCUACUCAUUUUUCAGGUUUCAGCGUAAUGAUCCUUCUGGGUAGCCCCUUCUGCCCUGUCCUUUCCUAUCCUGCUUUGAUGUUUGUUUCAGUCUGCCUUUGUUAUUACACUAGAGGCCCUUAGAGGGCUGGGACCCAGUAUGUGUUGCUCUCUACUGUGCACAGGACCUGGCACAUAUUUGUGGAAUGGACAGUCUUUCCAGAGAAAAGAAAGCCACUUGUUCUUUGCAGUGUUUUCUCUGUUUUGAAAUUCUAACAUCAUCACUGUCUCCUUCUCCACUACUCUCAACUUUCCUCCUGCCAAAGUAUCCUGUUUUGUGUCCUCUUUCUCACUCCAUCCCUGAGGUCCAGGAGCCUGAGCCAUUUCCCGUGUGUGGCAGGGCCCCACGUUCUCCCAGGGUGAGAACUACCCUUUGGGAAGCAUGGGUGUAGCCUGAAUCUCAACAGAAGCUUUCUUUGGGGACGAGGUUAUUCCCAGAAAGUAAUUAAAUGAGGCCCCAAACCUGGGGCUGACCCUGGCUCCCUCCUCAAACUUCAGUUUCCUUUUUUCUCAAAUGAAAAAAAGGUUGCCUCUGCAAAAAUCUAAAUAAUCUCGAAUAUUGGAUUAGGUAAAGUAUAAUUAGAAAGGCAAACCUUAGGCUUAUAAAACAGCACUUCACAUUACCAGGUCUCAAGCAUGUUUGUGUGCCAUGUGGCCUGGCCUCCAUCCCCUCUCUGGACACCAAACAGAUGGUUCAGUAGUCAUGCCUCAUAGUGCAUUCUAUUCAGGAACAGCUUACCCAAGAUUCUGGAAGGAUUCGACUAGCUCCCAGAGGCCUAAUGAACCUGGUUGCUGUGGACACAGAUGACCACUGUUGUCGCUGGGUGAGGAGAGCUGGCAAGCCAUGGCAGGGUGGCUGGCAGGGAGUGUUCCAGGAAGCAAGUACAGAGCCAACACUGUCAGCCUGGCUUGGGCUGAGAUCUUAGGAGUUAUCUGGUGUGGGCUGAUGGGACAGCAACCCAGGACUCUGUAGUAAACAAAGACACUAGAUAGGAAAAGGAAGGAGCCCAUUUGCAGGAAGGACUGGGUGGGCUGGGGGGGUAACAAGGACUGGGGCCCAGGGUGAGAGAUUUCUCCUUGUAAGGGUUGGCAGUGGUAGGACCAUGAGGUUAGAGGGAUGAGAUCAGAGUCAGGAAGAGAUAAAGUCAGAUUAAAGUCAGAUGAAGCAGGCUGUCUUUCUCAGAAUGGGAUCAUUCAGUGCAGGAACAAAAACAGCCCAGGCCACACCUGUAAUUCUAGCUUUGUGAGGCCAAGGCAGGUGGAUCACUUGAGGUCAAGAGUUCAAGACCAGCCUGGCAACACGGUGAAACCCUGUCUCCACUAAAAAUACAAAAAUUAGCCAGGCAUAGUGGUGGGUACCUGUAAUUCCAGCUACUGUGGAGGCUGAGGCAGGAGAAUCGCUUGAACCUGAGAGGUAUAGGUUGCCGUGAGCCAAGAUCACGCCAUUGCACUCCAGCCUGGGCAACGGAGCAAGACUCUGCCUCAAAAAUAAAUAAAUAAAUAAAUAAAUAAAUAACAGCUCAGGAGUCAUAGGCUGGUAUAUGUCUGGCUGUUGAAUCUUCUCCCACCGCUGGUGAGGCGGUUUAUGAUCUGUCCGCGGAAAGGGAGGAGGUGUAAAUACCACCAAGGAAAGUUGGGAGACAUACUUGCGUGAACUUGGACAAGUCAGUCUCUCUGUGCCUGUUUCCUCCUCUGUGUGAUAAGGAUAAUAAUGUCUAACCUUUUGAGAGAAUAAACAAGAUUGUGGGUACAAAGAAGCUUUGCGUGCUAUGAGCGUGGUGCAGAAUAUUGUUGCUAACAUUGAUACAGCACUUCCUGAGCACUUCACUGGACUGAGUAGCUUUUUGUCUUUCACCUCAUGUAACCCUGACGAUAACCUAGUGAGGUGGGUACUAUUCUCGUACCUGAUUUACAGAUGGGAGCCAGGAUUUGGACUCAGGCAGACUGGCUCUAGAGCUUGCAUUGCUUAACCAUUAUUCUACACUGGCUCUCCCUGUGACAUUGUUCACCCUGCCUUCUCUGUGACCUUGGGCCAGUAUCUUUUCUUCAGUUUUCCAAACUCUGUGUUAGGUGGUUGGGCCAGAUGAUCUCUUCAGUCCUUCAAGCUUGGCAGUCAGUGGUUCAGGAAAGGAACUUCCAAGUAGGGUAGAGGGCAAGGUGGGGCCAGGGCUGAGAGAGGACAAACUUUUCCAGUGUCUCUGCCUUGUCAUUAGUGGAUAGGCUGGCAGGCUCCCCUUUGCCCUAUAAGUGGGGCCAAGGGAGCAGGUGAUGCUCAGUCCCAGCCUGAUAUAUUAACUGGUCCCUGAGGAUCACUGACAUCUGACCACUAGGUCCACCUGCCAAUAGUCAGGCAAGGCCCAUCUGCCUCUGCUAACAGACCCCAGAGGGCUCUUCUUCAGUCUUCAGUCUCUACCUGCCCAUUCUGGGCCCCUACCCCCUCACCCAGGAUCAGUUUAUCUGGGCACCAGGCCUGGUCUGGGGUCCUGGGGAUGGGGCUAUUUUUAGAUGUCCUCUGUCUCCUUGGCCUGGGCCUCUAGCCAGAUCAGGCCGUUUAUACACAUGCAUGUGCACACACAGAUUUUCCCUUGUGUCAAUCCCUCAUUGAACUUGACUGUUACUAGUUUGAUGCCUGGCCUCAUACUGAGUACGGAUAAUCAACAGAUGACCUAGACUUCGUCGCUGCUCUCAUAGAGGGAUGGGAGAGGUAGACUUGUCUACAGACUAUGACAAUACCGAAAGGCUAUUACUAUCACAUAGGGCUGCCCCUGUACCAUGGAAGACCGAAGGAGGGAGCCCCCGCUCUGCCAGGAAAGGCCUCAUACAGGAGGCAGUCUUUGGGCUGGGUCUUUUUUUCUUUCUUUCUUUCUUUUUUUUUUUUUAAAUAAAGACAGGGUUUCACCAUGUUAGUCAGGCUGGUCUUGAACUCCUGACCUCAGGUGAUCCGCCCACCUUGGCCUCCAAAGUGCUUGGAUUACAGGCGUGAGUCAUCACACCCAGCUGGGCUGGGUCUUGAAGGAUAGGCACAUAGGAGUCCACUAGAUGUGGGGAGGGGAAUUGGGGAGGCAGAGGAGAAGGAUUCGGUGAGAGAGGAUGAGAUUUUUCCUGAUGAUUGCCCUCAGGUGAAGGCAGAAGAUAAAAAUGUCAAGUGACAAGAAUGGAAAGAUAGUGUAGGGCAAACAGGAGACCUUGCCCAACAUCCAGGAGUCUGGACUUCCUUCUGAAAGCAAUCGAGAGUCACGGAGGGUUUCAGGCAGGUGACCUUCAUGAUCUGAUUUGUAUUAUGGGAUGAGUUCCCUGUCUGCUGUGUGGAGGCUGCAUUGGAGAUAUUGGUUAAAAGACAGCUGUUCAAUCUGCACAGUCCAGCAGGACUCACCUAUGCCCACAAUGCAACAGAGAGAAGGGGAAAAUGGGAGGACACACUUCUAAUUAAAGGCAUGGCGUGGCCACUGCACAUCUCUUUUCUCCCAGGUGCAUCUAGAUGCAAGUGAGACUAGGAAAUAUGGUGAUUAUUCUGGACUGCUUUUUACUCUAGAAAAGAGAGAGAAUAGAUAUCAGGGGACUGGAGGCCUCUGAUACAGUGGUUAAGUCUCUGAGCCAGGCGUGGCGGCUCAUACCUGUAAUCCCAGCACUUUGGGAGGCCAAGGCAGGCAGAUCACUUGAGGUCAGGAGUUUGAGACCAGCCUGGCCAACAUGACGAAACCCUGUCUCUACUAAAAAUACAAAAAUUCGUUGUGCAUGCCAGCUAAUUGGUGUAUGCCUGUAAUCCCAGCUACUUGGGGAGCUAAUGCAGGAGAAUCACUUGAACCCAGGAGGUGGAGGCUACAGUGAGCCAAGAUCGUGCCACUGUACUCUAGCCUAGGUGACAGAGCGAGACUCCGUCUCAAAAAAAAAAAGUCCCUGAAAUCAGAUUUCUCAGUUUAAGUUCUGCCUUAAUCAUUUACCAUCUAUGCAGGCAGAUUACUCACCCUCUCCGUGCCUCAGUUGCUUCCUCUGAGGGUACAGUGAGCUAACACAUACCGAGUGCUUAGAGUAGAUCCUGGCACAUAAUGAUGCCCAGAGCUUUUUUCUGUUUCUAAGAGAAGGGGAGCUCUGGGAACAGGUGUUGCCUGAGUCCCCAGGAAUCGAUGAGGCACCCACAGUGGGGCAGAUGUCUGGCUAGGGCAGCCAGGCCUAUAAGCUGUGCGCUUUAACUCCAUUCUCUUAAUCCCCAUGUCUUAGCUGAGGCAGAGGAUUCUGGGAGCAGGGUAUGGGGGUCCUGGGAAAAGAAAGGAAGGUGGAUUUUGGAGCUGAUUCAAGGAUGGAUAGCCCAAGAAGUGAUGUCUGUGGAUCUAGGAGCUUCAGAUGCAGCCCAGCCUGGAGCCCCUUUCCCUCACAGGACAACAGAUCUCCCAGGGUCAUGGUAGGGCAGGGAAGGGGAGGUGGGGUGGCCAGUCAUAGUCAUCUUGACUAAUGACUUCAGACUUGGCUGCUGUGUGACCUCAGGCCUCCAGCCACCACUGACCUUCUCUGGGCCUUGAUCUUUCCAUCUGGAAGCUGGGAUCACUUCUCCUUCCUUGCUGUCCUGCAAGAUGAGUGUGAAGAUUAGAUGUCAGUCCUAGAAUUGGGUUGCUCCCUGUGAAGAAAGAGACCCCUUCCUCUUAAGCUUCUAAGACCACUUCCCCUUAGCCUUGCAUUUCAAAAGGAGAAGUGAAAGUUGAAAAUAGAAGGCACAAGGUCAGCGGAGGAGACAAAACCGGUGCCACUAGAGGAACCUGGAGGUUAAAGAUGAACGACCCCCACCUCCCAACCCCAGUUCCUAUCCUGUCUAUAGCUCACAGGCAUGGUGUGGAGGAAUCUUCCCUGGAAGGCAUUAUUCUUGCUUAAUCAUGAUUAGACUCCACCUAAGGAACCCCUCGCUUACCUCUUUAAUCCCGACCCUCUCACACAUACCCUCUAAGACUGUGAGACUUUAAAAGAGGCCAGGAUUUUCUAGUCGGCGAGCUUGGUUCUUGAGACAUGAGUCCGCCGAGACUUCCAGCUGAAUAAAAAGCCAUUUCCUUCACAAACCUGGUGUCCGAGAGGCUUUGACUGUGGUGUGUCCUGUUACACCAGCAGGGCUGAGUGCCUUGGAGGCAUGUGUCAGCAGCAGAUACCACUGCACCCCUUCCCUGGAAGGAGAAGCAUUGCUGCUCAGUCCAGCUGAGCCACGACUGCCUGUCCUGCCUUCUUCCUCAUGUAAGCUAUGCUCUUUUCCCCAGGCUACUGGUUGUAAAAUAGGGUGGGAUAAGAGUAAUGUGUGAGGGCCGGGUGUGGUGGCUCAAGCCUGUAAUCCAAGCACUUUGGAGGCCAAGGCGGGUGGAUCACCUGAGGUUGGGAGUUCAAGACCAGCUGAUCACCAUGGUGAAACCCCAUCUUUAUAAAAAGAAUAAAAAUAAAAUUUGAGAUAAUGUGUGAGGGAAAGGACAGGUGGAAGGAAAUGAGGGAGGAGGAUAGCAACAUCAGAAGAAAAGCAGAAUAGUAAGACUGAGGGAUCAUAGCGGAGGAAAAUGAGAACUGAGUGAAGUAGGAUGUGUCUAGAAUUAGCUCUGUGGGAACCCACUCUCUCAUAUUCAGGCACAGAUGGGGAGCUUGCAGAGGGUAGGUGCUAUGCCUUAUUCAUCUCUCUUUCCUCUUCCCAGGGCACAGCAUAAGCCUCCACCGAAAACAGGUCUGCCAUCAGAGUUUGUCGAUUGAACCCCAGACUUGGCCCCCCACUGAGCCUUCAUGAAGCCUCCCCACCCAGGCCCUGCUUAGGGGAGGAUCCGAAAGGCAGCCUUGAGAAGAAGGAAGGGCAGCUGGGAGACAGGAGUGUGGGUCCCACUAGGGCUCCCUCAGUGCCUUGCUGUGCUACCUGGGACAAACCUCUUAUCCUCUAAAGCUCUUUUCCCAUCUGAGUAAUGUUGAGUCUUAUGGCUGUGGUUUGAGAGCUGUUUUUACUCCAUAAAAUCCUAUCUUCAAGCAAAUUCUUAGGCUAGGUGUGGUGGCUUAUGCCUAUAAUUCCAACACUUUGAGAGACAGAGGUGGGAGGAUCGCUUGAGCCCAGGAGUUUGAGACAAGCCUGGGCAACAAAGUAAGACCCUCAUUUCUACAAAAAAUUUAAAUAAUUAGCUAGGCAUGCUGCACGUGCCUAUAGUUUCAGCUACUUGGGAGGCUGAGGGGAAUAAUCACUUGAGCCCAGGUUGAGGUUGCAGUGAGCCAUGAUUGUGCCACUGCACUCCAACCUGGGCAGCAGAGUGAGACUGUCUCAAAAGAACACAGUAUCUUAGGUGGAAGUGCAAGAGAUAAAAGGGAGCUUCACUGGUGGAAGCCAGGAAGGGUCUUGGAACACACUUAUAAUGGUCCUGGAGGGUCUGGGGAGUCCAGUUUACGGAAGCUCUGCUCUCUGGGCCUCCAGCAGGCCUGACUUUUCUACCCCUGCCUGCUAUCCCGUCCCUACUACCCCACUUCACAUGUCCUUUCUGCAGCCUGGGUGGGAAGGGGUGGGCUGGGGGGGUCCAGGCAACUUGCAAAGAGCAAGCAGUGCCCCUCUUGGGGCUGUCUUUCAGUCCCUGGGAACUAGCACCACCCACCCCGCCCUACCGCACACAGACACAGACGUCUCGCUCUUGGUUUCUUGGGCUAGGGAGGGGCCCAGAGAGAGCCCUCAGAUUGGGGUCUUUAGGAGGGGGUUGGGAAGAGAAGAAAUGUGUUUUUGGGGAACCACGAGAUUGGAGCCCAGACGCUCCUGGCUAAAUGAUCUAGAGUACCUACUGCAUCUCUCUGGGUCUCAGUUUCUCCAUCAGUACAAUGAGGGAUGAACGUCCUUUCUCAUUGGUGACUGGUGUAAUUAUAGUACUGGGGAUGGGGCAGAGACUGGGCUGUGGGUGCUGAGCUUCCUGAGAGAACAUCUUGCUUACAGUUCAGAGCCAGUGAUGGUGGCCGCAGCAACUGAGCCUUGGAGGGAGGGUUGAUAGGAAGACUUGGUUGAGCCUGGCUCUGCCAAUAAGUUAGUGUGUGUUGUCCCUUCCCAGGGCCACACUUUCUCCAUCUAUCUAAUGGGACUAGAUGUGCCCAGACCCAGGAGCCGGUGAGUGCGCCUGGCAUCAGAGACUGGGGCAGAGGCCUGUGGCUGGCUCAGGGUGAGGACCACAGUCCCAUUGUACAGAGCCAGGAGUGGUUGUCAAAGAUAGCAUAGAAAACCAAGAGUCAGGUGGGAGUGCUGAAGGAAACUUAGGGGUCAUAACUUCACACUUUUUGGUUUACAGAUGGGGAAACAGGCUGGAAGUGGGGAGACCAGUUGUCCAGGGCCCCAGAAUGGGUUAGAGGACAGAGUCAGGGACCACUGACUAUCUCUCCAGCUUUUCCUCACAGGAAGCUCUGAUAGAAGGUACAGGGAGUAGCCUUGCCUGGGGAGUGGGGAGAUGGCCCCUCUCCCUCCCUCUCCCUGUGAGGUGGGGAAAUAGAACACAGUGGGAGCUCAGCUGCCUGUGUUCCCUUUCCUUUUCUCCCUCUGCCUGUCCUGCACACUCCUCAGGACUUGUUAAUCUCAGAAGUCUCCAGUUAACCAUCUCAUCUUUCCCACAAGGACAGGAUAGGGGUGCAGUCAGACAGGAGCAGCAGAUAAAGGGGUUGAGAUUUUGCAGUGACAAAGAGGUCCAGGUGUAGGGGCAUGAAAUUGGGCUGGGACAUGCAGGGAGGAACUGAGGACAGAGCUUUCCCCUGUGCCUGGGGUGGGGACAAGAUAACGUUUGUCUCUUAGUUCCUGGAACCCCUUCAGAGACCAUGGUUUUUGGUUCCCAAGUCCAGAAGAGACAUCUGAGACAUGCACAUGCACAGACACAUCAACCACAGAGGACCUCACCCACACCCAGGCACAGCCACACACAGCCCCUACAUAGAACUGGCUACAAGGCCGGGCAUGGUGGCUCACACCUGUAAUCCCAGCACUUUGGGAGUCUGAGGUGGUCUGAUUACCUGAGGUCGGGAGUUCGAGACCAGCCUGACCAACAUGGAGAAACCCCUUCCCUACUAAAAAUACAAAAUUAGCUGGGCAUGGUGGUUCGUGCCUGUAAUCCCCAUACUUUGGGAGGCUAAGGCAGAAGAAUCACUUGAACCCAGGAGGCAGAGGCUUCAGUGAGCCAAGAUUGUGUUAUUGCACUCCAGCCUGGGCAACAAAAGAGAAACUCGUCUUAAAAAAAAGAAUUGGGUGCAAAAUUGGCAGGAUCCAGUACAAAGUGAAAAUGUGAACCCCUUGUGCCUGGGUGUGUGGGUGAGGUCGUCUUCGUAAGAAUUUCAGGAUAAGGCUGGGGGCGGUGGCUCACACCUGUAAUCCCAGCACUUUGGGAGGCCGAGGCAGAUGGAUCACUUGAGGUCAGAAGUUUGAGACCAGCCUGGCCAACAUGGUGAAACCCCGUCUCUACUAAAAAUACAAAAAUUAGCCGAGCAUAGUGGUGUGCUAUAAUCCCAGCUAUUCAGGAGGCUGAGGCAGGAGAAUUGCUUGAACCCGGGAGGUGGAGGUUGCAGUGAGCUGAGACUGUGCCGUUGCACUGACCAAUCCAGGAAUGCCUGGGAGACAGAGUGAGACUCCGUUUCAAAAAAUAGAAUUUCAAGAUGAUGACAGCAGAUCAUUAAACCAAGAGUGAGGCCCUUCUGAGGUCUCUGACUGCACAGGUUGGUUUCACACUCUGCUCCUAACACAUUCCAGCCAUUCCCUUGAGGACUCACAGUCCCACAGACACCAUCCUGCUACAGACACAGUCAGCCAGGAACAAACAUUCACAUCCCUAUUCCCAUCACCACUGAGGGCACACCUAUCUCUCCACCCCAGACACAUACAGUUACGUCAGCCCCAGUACCAUGGAACCUCACCUAGAGCCAGAGUUUCUCUCAGCUGGGUGAAUCCAGGCAUCCCACCAGGGUACAAGGCCAUUAUACUCACCUCUCCCUUGGGCUGCCAGGGUCCCCUCCACCCUCUUGUUCCACACGGUCCCUCCCCGAUAUGCACACUAGCCUACCUGCUGGGCUGGUGGUGGAAGAUAGCAGAGAGGGCAAUGCCAGCUCUUCCACCCACUCUGCAGCCAGCCUACAGGGACCCAGCUGAGGAUAAGAUGCCAGUAAUAAUAAUCCCGAACCCUUCAGCAUUUACCAUGUGCCAGGCACUGUUCCAACACUUUAUAAAUACUAUCUCAUUUAAUCCCCACAACCCUAUUGUUAAAACGCACGCUCUGAAUGAAGAGACCCCCAAACAGGCUUUGUGUGAGAAACAUGACUGUUUAUUCCCCCCAGGUGCAGGCAGGCUAGGGCCGAAAAGGGCAUCAGCCGAGGGCAGAGGGAUAGGAGUUGGUUUUAUAGGUUUGGGGUAAGCAGUGGAAAGUUACAGAAGUAACUUUAGAAUGUUUUUUUGCAAGCUGAGUGGGGGUAGUAGGGUGUGGAGUCCCAAGCUGGGAGGGGGUCCUAGGGUGUGGAGUCAGGAGGUUGGCCAAUGUCAGUUUCAAAGUCCUAUGGCCUUGUCAGUUGAGGCUGGAAUAAGAAACAAUAGAGAAUAUCUUAAAGUUAAGCAGGCAUCGCAGGGGUUGAUCAUUUCUUCCUCUUCUCAUGGUCUUCCAGUUACUUUAGAUUUUCCGGGAACUCAUCUGGAGUGUCGUUGCAGGUCACAGAGGUUAACAUGGCAUCCAUGGGGCCGUCAGUCAGCCUAAAAGACCUUGUGCCUAUGAAGUAGGUAAUUUUUUUUCUUGCUUUGUCAUAUUACCAGAGAAGUAGGUAAUAUUUUUUAUCCCCAUUUUAUAGGUAAGGAAACUGAGGCACAGAAAAGUUAAGUCACUUUACCAAGAUCAUAUAGCUAGUAGGAGAGGAAGCUGGAAUUUUAAUCUGCUGCAGACAGCAUGCUCUGUCUGCUGCUGUUGUGUCUGUCCUGGGCAUGUCAGGGACAUGUGGGGGACCUGGCAGUUCCAGGGUCUGCCCCUGAGGAGCUCAGAUUCUCUAUGGAAUGAUGAAAAAUAAUGAUUAUGAUGUAGCAGUUUUUGACUGGGGUCCACGGUCAGUCCCCGGUGUCCCCAGGAUAGUCACUUGGCUGGAGGAACAGAGAUGAGUUUCUUGUGUUGCAGGUCCUACACCAUAACCAACUGCACAAACAAGCCACUUAGAGAUGAGUUUCUUUUACUACAAUCACAAUAUUUGGAAGAUGUCAGCAUAAGAAAUAGUCCUUUUUACUUUUUUUACAGACAAAAUUGUCAACUAUGAAAGGCAUUUUCACCGACAGCGUACGCGGUCAGAUAAAGUGCAGUCCACAUGGUGGCUGAUUACCCAGGCCAGAGGGCUGUCUUAAUGGUGGGAAUGCAAGGAAACCUGCUCUGCCAGUGUGUUCUGGGCAGGCAGCAGGCCUCAUUCAUGACUUAAUUCAGUAUUACAAACCUUCUCCUUUUGUGAGUGGCACUGUGUGGCGGUGAGCAUGUGGAGAGGACUCCAUGAAGGCCUUGGGCACACUACCAGAUGCCAUACACCGCCCUUCUACUGCAUGGGAAUCUUUGUGAUGAAUCAAGUUGUUGCCAAGUCCCGCUUCUGGCACUUCGUAUCUCAGUUAAAGAAGAUGAAGAUGGGGCAGGGUGCAGUGGCUUCACGCCUGUAAUCCUAGCACUUUGGGAGGCCGAGGUGGGUGGAUCACCUGAGGUCAGGAGUUCAAGACCAGCCUGGCCAUCAUGGUGAAACGCCAUCUUUGAAAAAAAAAAAAGAUGGAGAUGUCUUCAGGGGAGAUUGUCUGCUGUGGGCAGGUGUUUGGGAAGUUCCCCCUGCAGGUGAAGUACUUCAGCAUCUGGCUGCGCUAUGACUCCUGCAGUGGAACCCACAACAUGUACCAGGAAUACCGGACCUGACCACCCAGGGUGCUGUCACCCAGUCCUACCGAGACAUGGGUGCCUGGCACCUCACCCGGGCCCACUCCAUCCAGAUCAUGAAGGUGGAGGAGAUCGAGGCCAUCAAGCUCUGCCGGCCUGCGGUCAAGCAGUUUCAUGACUCCAAGAUCAAGUUCCCACUGCCCCACUGGGUCCUCCGCCAUCAGCACAAGCCACGCUUCACCAAGAGGCCCAGCACCUUCUUCUAGGUACAUGGCCUUCACUGGGGUGUGCCCCAAAUAAAUUCAGGAACAUUCUGGUUUAAACAAACAAACAAACAAAAAAAAAAACCUUCAGGAGCCUUGCCCAGCCCAUGCCCCACCCGCUCCUUCUCAGAGAGUUGCUGCUCCCCACUAGGUGUGGCCCCUGAGGCCAUGUUUGUAUGCUUUGACUCUUGCCCCUCCAGCUUCCCGGCCAUGACUGCCUGAUCCAGAAAUGCCUACAUGAUCCAAGCAGGCCCAUCAGGUCCUUUGUCUGGGGCCUGGGGAUCUGCAUUCCAUUGGGUGGGGCUGGCCCCUGAACUGAGAACAGGUAAUCUUGGGAACUGUAAAGCAGCUGCCUUUACAUUCACUGCUGUUUGCAAAAAAUGAAAAGAAGCAGAAAGCUAUCCACAGGGUUAGAGAAGAAUGAAGCAGUGAAGAGGGGCAAGUGCUGAGCUCCAGAAGCCAUCCAGCUCCACAGAGGGCCACAACGGCUUCCCUAAUCCUUAUGAUAAUGCCUGCUUUUUCUUUCCGUAAGCCUGAGACAGUUUCUGUUACUUGUAGUCAAAUCGGCUUAUGUAAGCACUUGAAUUAGAAAACAUAAAAGUUAAGAGAGUGCCACAAACCUCCUGAAUGUGUUGGUUUUAUUGUCAUUUUUUAAUAAGACAGACUACAAAGCUGUGGAGCUACAUGUGUCCUUCCUUCCACUGGAGUGUCCCCAGUGGAAGCUUGAGGUUGUUUGUCUCUCUAUCUUGCAAAUACAUCCCUUACUGGAGAUGGCUUCCCUGAUAAGAAAUGUGCUUUGAAAAGACUUUAUAAACUUGAAUUUGCCCAGUGGUUUGCUGGACAAUAAUAUUUGGCUUCUGGUUUCUCAAAAAUCCAAAUAUGUAAGUUAUAUAUGGACAUAUAUUUAUUAUAAAUUUUACCGAUAUAAUAAAGGCUGUGUAGUAUGGGCAAGGUGGCUCAUGCCUGUAAUCCCCGCACUUUGAGAGGCCAAGGCAGGCAGGUGGCUUGAAGUCAAGAGUUCGAGACCAGCCUGGCCAACAUGGUAAAACCCCAUCUUUACUAAAAAUACAAAAAUCAGCUGGGCAUUGUGAUACACACCUGUAAUCCCAGCUACUCAGGAGGCUGAAGCAGGAAAGAAUCUCUUGAACCUGGGAGAUGGAGGUUGUAGCGAUCUGAGAUUGCACCACUGCACUCCAGCCUAGGUGAGACAGAGACUGUCUCAAAAAAAUAAAUAAAGCUGUGUAGCACAACUUAACUUACAAAUGACACAAUAUACAAACUUUUUUUUGAGACAGGGUCUCACUCUGUCACCCAGGCUGGAAUGCAGUGGGGUGAUCAUGGCUCACCGCAGCCUUGAACUACUGGGCUGAUGCAAGCUGCUGUCAUGAUGUCACAGAGCCAAGAGUUAGGAAUAGGUGUGCAGAAGCACAUCAUUGUAUCAUAGUUUCACUAUACAGGUAAUAACAGAUGUAGGGCUGGGCUCAGGAGCUCACACCUGUAAUCCCAGCACUUUAGGAGGCUGAGGUGGGUGAAUCACUUGAGGUUGGGAGUUUGAGACCAACCUGGCCAACAUGGUGAAACCCCAUCUCUACUAAAAAUACAAAAAUUAGCCUGGCAUAGUGGCAGGCUAAUGCGCCUGUAAUCCCAGCUACUUGGGAGGCUGAGGUAGAAGAAUUACUUGAACCUGGAAGGCAGAGGUUGCAGUGAGCCAAGAUGGUGCCACUGCACACCAGCCUGGGUGAUAGCGCAAGACUCUGUCUCAAAAAUAAAUGAACAAACAAAUACAUAAAAAUAAAUAG